GCUUAAAGGGGCCGUAGCUUGCCGAGUAAGUUCGUCGGGAAAUCUACUGGCUUAACCAGUAGGCGUCCGGCGAAAACUGCUCGGCUUGGGACCGGGAGACCAGAGGGGUACGUCCGGGGUAGGAGUGAAAUCCCGUAAUCCUGGACGGACCACCGGUGGCGAAAGCGCCUCUGGAGAACGGAUCCGACAGUGAGGGACGAAAGCUAGGGUCUCGAACCGGAUUAGAUACCCGGGUAGUCCUAGCUGUAAACGAUGCUCGCUAGGUGUGGCGCAGGCUACGAGCCUGCGCUGUGCCGUAGGGAAGCCGUGAAGCGAGCCGCCUGGGAAGUACGUCUGCAAGGAUGAAACUUAAAGGAAUUGGCGGGGGAGCACUACAACCGGAGGAGCCUGCGGUUUAAUUGGACUCAACGCCGGACAUCUCACCAGCUCCGACAGCAGUAAUGACGAUCAGGUUGAUGACCUUAUUCGACGCUGCUGAGAGGAGGUGCAUGGCCGCCGUCAGCUCGUACCGUGAGGCGUCCUGUUAAGUCAGGCAACGAGCGAGACCCGCACCUCUAGUUGCCAGCAGCAUCUCGCGAUGGCUGGGUACACUAGGGGGACUGCCGCUGCCAAAGCGGAGGAAGGAACGGGCAACGGUAGGUCAGUAUGCCCCGAAUGAGCUGGGCAACACGCGGGCUACAAUGGUCAGGACAAUGGGACGCCACCCCGAGAGGGGGCGCUAAUCUCCUAAACCUGAUCGUAGUUCGGAUUGAGGGCUGAAACUCGCCCUCAUGAAGCUGGAUUCGGUAGUAAUCGCGUGUCAGAAGCGCGCGGUGAAUACGUCCCUGCUCCUUGUACGCACCGCCCGU
rnacentral:rRNA from 1 species